rnacentral:rRNA from 1 species
UACGUAGGGUGCGAGCGUUAAUCGGAUUUACUGGGCGUAAAGCGUGCGCAGGCGGCCCGUUAAGACAGGUGUGAAAUCCCUGGGCUCAACCUAGGAAUUGCGCUUGUGACUGGCGGGCUCGAGUACGGUAGAGGGGGGUGGAAUUCCUGAUGUAGCAGUGAAAUGCGUAGAGAUCAGGAGGAACACCGAUGGCGAAGGCAGCCCCCUGGGCCUGUACUGACGCUCAUGCACGAAAGCGUGGGGAGCAAACCGG